rnacentral:rRNA from 1 species
AGAUGGGCCUGCGGCGCAUUAGCUAGUUGGUGAGGUAACGGCUCACCAAGGCGACGAUGCGUAGCCGACCUGAGAGGGUGACCGGCCACACUGGGACUGAGACACGGCCCAGACUCCUACGGGAGGCAGCAGUAGGGAAUUUUCCACAAUGGACGAAAGUCUGAUGGAGCAACGCCGCGUGAACGAUGAAGGCUUUCGGGUCGUAAAGUUCUGUUGUUAGGGAAGAAACAGUGCUAUUUAAAUAAGGUAGCACCUUGACGGUACCUAACGAGAAAGCCACGGCUAACUACGUGCCAGCAGCCGCGGUAAUACGUAGGUGGCAAGCGUUGUCCGGAAUUAUUGGGCGUAAAGCGCGCGCAGGUGGCUAUGUAAGUCUGAUGUUAAAGCCCGAGGCUCAACCUCGGUUCGCAUUGGAAACUGUGUAGCUUGAGUGCAGGGAGAGGAAAGUGGUAUUCCACGUGUAGCGGUGAAAUGCGUAGAGAUGUGGAGGAACACCAGUGGCGAAGGCGACUUUCUGGCCUGUAACUGACACUGAGGCGCGAAAGCGUGGGGAGCAAAACAGGGAUUAGAUACCCUGGUAGUCCACGCCGUAAACGAUGAGUGCUAAGGUGUUAGGGGUUUCAAUACCCUUUAGUGCCGCAGCUAACGCAAUAAGCACUCCCGCCUGGGGAGUACGCUCGCAAGAGUUGAAACUCCAAAG